rnacentral:rRNA from 1 species
AAUAGAUACCCGGGUAGUCCACGCCGUAAACGAUGUCGACUUGGAGGUUGUUCCCUUGAGGAGUGGCUUCCGGAGCUAACGCGUUAAGUCGACCGCCUGGGGAGUACGGCCGCAAGGUUAAAACUCAAAUGAAUUGACGGGGGGCCCGCACAAGCGGUGGAGCAUGUGGUUUAAUUCGAUGCAACGCGAAGAACCUUACCUACUCUUGACAUCCAGAGAACUUAGCAGAGAUGCUUUGGUGCCUUCGGGAACUCUGAGACAGGUGCUGCAUGGCUGUCGUCAGCUCGUGUUGUGAAAUGUUGGGUUAAGUCCCGCAACGAGCGCAACCCUUAUCCUUUGUUGCCAGCGGUCCGGCCGGGAACUCAAAGGAGACUGCCAGUGAUAAACUGGAGGAAGGUGGGGAUGACGUCAAGUCAUCAUGGCCCUUACGAGUAGGGCUACACACGUGCUACAAUGGCGCAUACAAAGAGAAGCGACCUCGCGAGAGCAAGCGGACCUCAUAAAGUGCGUCGUAGUCCGGAUUGGAGU